AGACUGUUGGCAAACAGGGCUGAGAUCAUGAGUGCUUCUGACAGGGACCGUGGUCUGUAAAUUGUGCACUAGUCUAAACGCUUUGGCGGCACUCAACAAACAGUAAAAUAAAUGUAAAUUUAAGGUUCCGGGGCUUGAACUGACCUGAGCAUGCAAGAGGACGUAUUUCGAUCCAGACUGGCUGUCUCGUUAAGAAUAGUUUCUGCCCCAAUUACUUCCUGGGAGAAAUCUCCGGCGAUUCCCGAAGAAUCCUGGGUAGUGAAGUUGAGUACCUCAGGGAAGGUCAAAAUGAUGUAGCAGAUUCGUCCCUCUCGGACCGUGCCCGAUUGCUUAUGCUUGAUCUACCCCGGCGUUCAGCACAGUGUCGGGCAUCUUAAUUCUCGGGACACCUCUAACAGAAUAAGUCCGUGUGCCGUCCUGAGUUUCCUGAGCCAGAAAUUCCAUAACAUGGCAAGACCAGAUGUUCUCCAAUUAGUCGUUGUUACGAUCGCUUUGGUUGCCUCCUGUUCAGAUAUUCCAAAAGAGAAGCUGAUGAGACCAAUGCGUCAUCUACAAUCUUUUCCAAAUCAUGUGCAUUUAAAGAUUGCCACUUGCCACCCAGCUGCUGAGAGGAAAUAACCCCAGCCUGUCAAUUAAUCGACCUGGGUUCUAGCCCUGUAGCUACCGCUGGCUUGCUGUGAGACCUUGGGCAAGUUGCUUCCCCUGCUUGGACCUCAGUUUCCCCAUCCGUCAAAUAAGGAGUAUAGUGCCUGCUUCCUUCUAUCUCACAGAGAUGGGGUGAGGAUAAAGUCAGAUCACCUACG